rnacentral:rRNA from 1 species
GAUGAACGCUGGCGGCGUGCCUAAUACAUGCCAGUCGAGCGAACGGACGAGAAGCUUGCUCCUCUGACGUUAGCGGCGGACGGGUGAGUAACACGUGGAUAACCUACCUAUAAGACUGGGAUAACUUCGGGAAACCGGAGCUAAUACCGGAUAAUAUUUUGAACCGCAUGGUUCAAAAGUGAAAGACGGUCUUGCUGUCACUUAUAGAUGGAUCCGCGCUGCAUUAGCUAGUUGGUAAGGUAACGGCUUACCAAGGCAACGAUGCAUAGCCGACCUGAGAGGGUGAUCGGCCACACUGGAACUGAGACACGGUCCAGACUCCUACGGGAGGCAGCAGUAGGGAAUCUUCCGCAAUGGGCGAAAGCCUGACGGAGCAACGCCGCGUGAGUGAUGAAGGUCUUCGGAUCGUAAAACUCUGUUAUUAGGGAAGAACAAAUGUGUAAGUAACUAUGCACGUCUUGACGGUACCUAAUCAGAAAGCCACGGCUAACUACGUG